CCGGGUGUGUGUCUGUCUCUGGGUGCGUGUGUGUUGGGGAGAGAGAGGGAGGGAGGCAGAGGGAGGGAGAGAGAGAGAGGGAGGACCGGGGCAGGAGUUGUGUAAAAGGGGCUGAAGUCCUGCGCUGCCUUCUCCUCCGCCGCUGCGAUAAAAAGGCUCCAGACGCCGUCAGAGCUCGGCACCACCGUGGACGUAAAAAUCGAAUCCACGGAGGACGACACACCCCGGUUGGAAGCUCCAGGACUCGGAGAGCGGUGGGCGAGGCAGCCUGAAGUCCGCCGGACCGUGCAGCUGCGUCGGAGGCUUGAGGCAGGAGCGACCCGGCCGGUGGUCAAGAAACGUGCACCCAAAGCAGAAGAAGGAAGGAGAAGGAGUCGCCUUUCGUGUCUCAGAGCGGCCCGUGCAUCACUCCGGUCUGCUCCGAACUCUCGCGCUCGCUGGCCGACUCCCACGGCUCCCACGGCUCCCUCACCCCCCUCACCCCUCGGCCCCAAAUGGCUGACACACAGCAGUUCUUCACUGGCAAGCUUUAUGUUCCUGUACACAUGCUAAAGCUGCCAGCUGAAGAACUGCUCUGGUCAGCCCUGCCCCGGAUGACUCAAGAAAAGGAAGCAGAUGGGGGGUGGUGGGAACCGGACUGAGAAAGACGGCGUUUCACACUCACAGCAGUCAGACUGGACUUGCCAGAUUUGAGCCUGUGGUUUACUUCACUAUUUUAUGAUCACACGUGUUUUUUUCCUUCCCAUUUGUUUAAACUGUGUCUAUGAUGUUGUUGUUGUUUUAGCUUCCAAUAAAGAACAAAAUGUUCCCUCA